AUUGAACGCUGGCGGCAGGCCUAACACAUGCAAGUCGAGCGGUAGCACAGGAGAGCUUGCUCUCUGGGUGACGAGCGGCGGACGGGUGAGUAAUGUCUGGGGAACUGCCUGAUGGAGGGGGAUAACUACUGGAAACGGUAGCUAAUACCGCAUAAUGUCGCAAGACCAAAGAGGGGGACCUUCGGGCCUCUUGCCAUCAGAUGUGCCCAGAUGGGAUUAGCUAGUAGGUGGGGUAAUGGCUCACCUAGGCGACGAUCCCUAGCUGGUCUGAGAGGAUGACCAGCCACACUGGAACUGAGACACGGUCCAGACUCCUACGGGAGGCAGCAGUGGGGAAUAUUGCACAAUGGGCGCAAGCCUGAUGCAGCCAUGCCGCGUGUAUGAAGAAGGCCUCGGUUGUAAGUACUUUACUAGUCGAGGAGGAAGGCGAU
rnacentral:rRNA from 1 species